AGAGUUUGAUCCUGGCUCAGGAUGAACGCUGGCGGCGUGCUUAACACAUGCAAGUCGAACGAAAGCACUUUAUUUGAUUUCCUUCGGGACUGAUUAUUUUGUGACUGAGUGGCGGACGGGUGAGUAACGCGUGGGUAACCUGCCUUGUACAGGGGGAUAACAGUUGGAAACGGCUGCUAAUACCGCAUAAGCGCACAGCAUCGCAUGAUGCAGUGUGAAAAACUCCGAUGGUAUAAGAUGGACCCGCGUUGGAUUAGCUAGUUGGUGAGGUAACGGCCCACCAAGGCGACGAUCCAUAGCCGACCUGAGAGGGUGACCGGCCACAUUGGGACUGAGACACGGCCCAAACUCCUACGGGAGGCAGCAGUGGGGAAUAUUGCACAAUGGGCGAAAGCCUGAUGCAGCGACGCCGCGUGAGCGAAGAAGUAUUUCGGAUUGUAAACCUCUGUCGCAGGGGACGAAGGAAGUGACGGUACCCUGUAAGAAAGCCCCGGCUAACUACGUGCCAGCAGCCGCGGUAAUACGUAGGGGGCGAGCGUUGUCCGGAAUUACUGGGCGUAAAGGGAGCGUAGGCGGUCGAUUAAGUUAGAUGUGAAACCCCCGGGCUUAACUUGGGGACUGCAUCUAAUACUGGUUGACUUAGAGUACAGGAGAGGGAAGCGGAAUUCCUAGUGUAGCGAUGAAAUGCGUAGAUAUUAGGAGGAACACCAGUGGCGAAGGCGGCUUUCUGGACUGACACUGACGCUGAGGCUCGAAAGCGUGGGGAGCAAACAGGAUUAGAUACCCUGGUAGUCCACGCUGUAAACGAUGAA
rnacentral:rRNA from 1 species